UGUUGAUAGCAUCCAGCAUGUCAGAUACACAAAUAAUCAUCCUUAGGUCUGAUGUUGUAGUAAGACAAUACCUUUUUUUAUAAUUCCAAGAGAGGCAAAAUACUUACAACUUAAAUACACAUAAAUCUAACUAUGUAGAGAACAUGUAUAGUUAAAACUACAAAAAUCUGAUAAUGGAGGCUAAAGGAGUUCUAAAUAAACAGAGACAUACCAUAUUCAUGGAUUAGAAGACUCAAUACAGUGGAGUCAACUCUCCCUACAGUAGUCUAUAGACUGGAACACAACUGUAAUCAAAAUCCUAUCAGAAAUUAUUGUAAGUACA
rnacentral:lncRNA from 1 species